AAGAUGUGGAAGCAAAGCAAGGGGGUUAUCUGAUUGGCUGGAGCUUAUCAACAAUUAUAUUAUUUUCGAAAGCUGAGUUGGCUGUUUGUGAUUGGUUGUCGUUAGGUUUUGAUUUCUUAACUGUAGGCAUUUACAGGCUUAGGUUUUGGGUUGCUUGCAUAGAAUGCUGAGGUAUUAGAACCACCUCCGUCUAAUGGCCUCCUAGUUUAAUUGAUUUAACAGUUCUUUAUUGCUUCUUUACAGAGAAAUUCUUUCAUGAAUACACACCGUGCUUCUAACUCUGACCUGCUAUUUCUCAGAAGUGUGUGAUUGGUUGCAAGGGACCCUGAUUGAGAAAUCAGAUGAUUCAGUACCAGCCCAUCUCACUUAUAAGAAAAGGAUUCUGCAAGAAACUGGAAGGCUAAUCUCACCCAAGAACCCUCCUGAGGCUGGAUCUGCCCUGCCUUCACCUCCCUCUGCUGAGACUUUAAGACAUUCUGCGGUGCCCUUUUGGAUGUGGACCCACUUAGCCCGCUGGGCAUUUCUAAUGUUAGCAGUGACUUCUGAGUGUUCACCUCCUCCCUGCACACCAGUCCUCCCUGUGGAUCCUGGCCAUGGCCUUGCAAUGAGGUGUCUCUAAUUUUAGAUUGGAUUCAGGAGGAUCCAGAUGGGUUGCCACUUAUAACUGGUAUGAACUUCAGCCCAGAAGCUGAG